UGUCUCUGGUGUCCAACACUGGAUCGGGC
rnacentral:piRNA from 1 species